rnacentral:rRNA from 1 species
UAAUGUCUGGGAAACUGCCUGAUGGAGGGGGAUAACUACUGGAAACGGUAGCUAAUACCGCAUAACGUCGCAAGACCAAAGAGGGGGACCUUCGGGCCUCUUGCCAUCGGAUGUGCCCAGAUGGGAUUAGCUAGUAGGUGGGGUAACGGCUCACCUAGGCGACGAUCCCUAGCUGGUCUGAGAGGAUGACCAGCCACACUGGAACUGAGACACGGUCCAGACUCCUACGGGAGGCAGCAGUGGGGAAUAUUGCACAAUGGGCGCAAGCCUGAUGCAGCCAUGCCGCGUGUAUGAAGAAGGCCUUCGGGUUGUAAAGUACUUUCAGCGGGGAGGAAGGGAGUAAAGUUAAUACCUUUGCUCAUUGACGUUACCCGCAGAAGAAGCACCGGCUAACUCCGUGCCAGCAGCCGCGGUAAUACGGAGGGUGCAAGCGUUAAUCGGAAUUACUGGGCGUAAAGCGCACGCAGGCGGUUUGUUAAGUCAGAUGUGAAAUCCCCGGGCUCAACCUGGGAACUGCAUCUGAUACUGGCAAGCUUGAGUCUCGUAGAGGGGGGUAGAAUUCCAGGUGUAGCGGUGAAAUGCGUAGAGAUCUGGAGGAAUACCGGUGGCGAAGGCGGCCCCCUGGACGAAGACUGACGCUCAGGUGCGAAAGCGUGGGGAGCAAACAGGAUU